rnacentral:ncRNA from 1 species
GCGUGAAAAGGGCAAACCACCCGUGAGGGUGGGACGCAAAGCCAUCGGCCUUCGGCCGUGAACGGGUGGACGGGUGUACCGGUUAACCGGUACACCGUACACCGGUAAGCACCGGCCGGAGGCGGCAGGGCUGCCACG